AGUGUCCGAGCUGCUGCCAUUGCUUCGUCUCCAUGUUUCUCCUUUGUUAAGAUUGUGUUCCACUUAUUGCUUGUCGCGCUUAGAGUUGCGGUUGCUGCUACGGAUAGUGGAUAAAGCUGAGGUUAUGGCUGCUGCUGUCGCUGGUCGAG